CCUACGGGUGGCAGCAGUGGGGAAUAUUGGACAAUGGGGGAAACCCUGAUCCAGCGACGCCGCGUGAGUGAAGAAGUAUUUCGGUACGUAAAGCUCUUUCAGCAGGAAAGAACAUGACGGUACCUGACUAAGAAGCCCCGGCUAACUACGUGCCAGCAGCAGCGGUAAUACGUAGGGGGCAAGCGUUAUCCGGAUCUACGGGGCGUAAAGGGAGCGUAGACGGCAGCCCGAGUCUGGAGGGAAACGCCGGGGCCCAACCCCGGAACAGCGCUGGAAACUGGGAAGCUGGAGUGCAGGAGAGGUAAGCGGAAUUCCUGGUGUAGCGGUGAAAUGCGUAGAGAGCAGGAGGAACAACGGCGGCGAAGGCGGCUUACUGGACUGUAACUGACGUUGAGGCUCGAAGGCGUGGGGAGCAAACAGGAGUAGAUACCCGAGUAGUC
rnacentral:rRNA from 1 species